AGUUGUAGAGAGGGACAUAAAAGAAAAGAAUACGCAGACAGAGAGAAAGUAGGAGUCUGAGAAAGUGGAGAGAGAGCAGCAAAGAAAAUGGGAUCCGAUGGGUUCCGGUCGCCGGUGAUGGCGGAGCGUGCCUUUAGAUGGAGCUACAACACUGGUGGUCUAGGUGGUGUCGGGUUGGAGAAAUAAACAACAGUGGUGGUGCUAGGGUUUGACAGAGGAUGGUGGUGGCAAGAGGCGGUGGUUCAGUUGACAACUGUGACGACCUCUUCCUUUUCUUAAAACCCCCGUCUGUCUUGUCUCUCAUGUCCUUAGCCAUUCCUCUGGGGUUCUCCCCCUUCUCCGACGAAGGAGCCGACGCCGGUAGUGAUGGCCGACCAUGAUGAAGACGAUGGUGUUUCUUUUGUUGAGAAGUGACGGUGGUAGUGAUGGCCGGGAAGACGAUGGUGUUUCUUUUGUUGAGAAGUGGCGAUGGAGACAAAGAUAAGGAUUCCGCGAUGUCUUCUGGUAUAAUUCCGGUCAAACUCAGGGUAGCACCCAAAACCAACAGAUGAGUGCUUGCAUAUCCUUUCUUUGACUAUGGAGGCAGAAUCUAUUCAGAUAUGUAAAAAGAAAGGUGCCUAACUUUGUGUGGGUAGUGUCCCAGAUGAGUUCCCAGCCCGUUGAUGAAUUAUUUGAUGCAUUUUCUGGUAGUUUAUUUUUUAUUUGGCAUUGCAAAGAUUAUAUGUAACCAUGAAUGGUUGAUUUUGAUGAUAUUACAUAGUUAAACAACUUGAUAUUA